rnacentral:rRNA from 1 species
GCCGCCGCGGUAAUACGGAAGGUCCGGGCGUUAUCCGGAUUUAUUGGGUUUAAAGGGAGCGUAGGCCGUCUUAUAAGCGUGUUGUGAAAUGUCGGGGCUCAACCUGGGCAUUGCAGCGCGAACUGUGAGACUUGAGUGCGCAGGAAGUAGGCGGAAUUCGUCGUGUAGCGGUGAAAUGCUUAGAUAUGACGAAGAACUCCGAUUGCGAAGGCAGCCUGCUGUAGCGCAACUGACGCUGAAGCUCGAAAGCGUGGGUAUCGAACAGGAUUAGAUACCCC